rnacentral:rRNA from 1 species
UACGAAGGGUGCAAGCGUUACUCGGAAUUACUGGGCGUAAAGCGUGCGUAGGUGGUUCGUUAAGUCUGAUGUGAAAGCCCUGGGCUCAACCUGGGAAUUGCAUUGGAUACUGGCGGGCUAGAGUACGGUAUAGGGUGGCGGAAUUCCUGGUGUAGCAGUGAAAUGCGUAGAUAUCAGGAGGAACAUCCGUGGCGAAGGCGGCCACCUGGACCAGUACUGACACUGAGGCACGAAAGCGUGGGGAGCAAACAGG